rnacentral:rRNA from 1 species
GACGAACGCUGGCGGCGUGCUUAACACAUGCAAGUCGAACGGAAAGGCCCUGCUUUUGUGGGGUGCUCGAGUGGCGAACGGGUGAGUAACACGUGAGUAACCUGCCCUUGACUUUGGGAUAACUUCAGGAAACUGGGGCUAAUACCGGAUAGGAGCUCCUGCUGCAUGGUGGGGGUUGGAAAGUUUCGGCGGUUGGGGAUGGACUCGCGGCUUAUCAGCUUGUUGGUGGGGUAGUGGCUUACCAAGGCUUUGACGGGUAGCCGGCCUGAGAGGGUGACCGGCAAAUUGGGAAUGAGAAACGGGCCCGAACCCUAAGGGGGGGAAGAGGGGGGAAAUUUUGAAAAGGGGGGGGAGGCUGGAGCAGCAAAGCCGGGUGGGGGGAGGAGGGCCUUGGGGUUGAAACCGCUUUCGCCUUGGGAGGAGGGGGGGUGACGGUAAAUGGGAAAAAAAGACCGGGCAACUUAGGG